UAGCAUAAUCAUUAGUUUUUUAAUUAAAGACUAGAAUGAAAGAUUUAACAUUUAAAUUACUUUUUUUAAUAUAAAAUUUCAAAUUAUAUUAAUAAUAAAAAUAUUAUUUUUAAAAAAAUAGACAACAAGACCCUAUUGAGCUUAACUAUAGUUUAGCUGGGGCAGCUUAUUAAUUAAAAUUUUAAUAUAAAUAAAAUAAAUGACCUAAUAUAAUUAACAAAUGAAUAAGCUACCAUAGGGAUAACAGCGUAAUAAAAUUUUAAAGCUCUUAUUAAAAAAAAAGAUUACGACCUCGAUGUUGAAUAGUAUAACAAUAAGGUGCAACUUCCUUAUUAGAGGGUCUGUUCGACCCUUAAUUUACUACA
rnacentral:rRNA from 1 species